rnacentral:miRNA from 1 species
CGGCGCAGAGAGCCUCGUUAAGAGCCAGGAGGCUGGGAUCGAAGGCCACAUACGCGCGCUCGAACGCCCCCGCCUUCCAGCUGCUGCCGGGGGACUCUUCGC